AUACGUAGGGUGCGAGCGUUAAUCGGAAUUACUGGGCGUAAAGCGUGCGUAGGCGGUUGUGUAAGACAGGUGUGAAAUCCCCGGGCUUAACCUGGGAACUGCGCUUGUGACUGCACGGCUAGAGUAUGGCAGAGGGGGGUGGAAUUCCACGUGUAGCAGUGAAAUGCGUAGAGAUGUGGAGGAACACCGAUGGCGAAGGCAGCCCCCUGGGCCAAUACUGACGCUCAUGCACGAAAGCGUGGGGAGCAAACAGGAUUAGAAACCCGAGUAGUCC
rnacentral:rRNA from 1 species